rnacentral:misc_RNA from 1 species
AAAACAAUCAUGGAAAUGCAUUCUGAUGAGGGUAGCUGCCAGUGAUGGAGCAUUAGGGAUAUGCUGGUUAACAAAAUCUUGAACAAUCUGCUCAGCUCUUGGGCAGCUUUGAGCAUAAAAGCCCAUCUGAAGUUGAGCUUCGGUUGAGCCUAUAUAUGCUAAAAAUGUGAAGACAAAUAUCCCAAAACAGCUUAAUCCUCCCAUGUUUUUGUUGGAUUGGAAACUUGUUCAGUAUCAGAAGCUAUUGCCUUCUAUUUAUGUACUGGUUUUGAUAACCAACAUCAGAAAAAGAUUUAUAGGCCUUAUUUUAGUGAAAC